rnacentral:rRNA from 1 species
GGCGGUUCGCUGCCGGCGACGUCGCGAGAAUUCCACUGAACCUUAUCAUUUAGAGGAAGGAGAAGUCGUAACAAGGUUUCCGUAGGUGAACCUGCGGAAGGAUCAUUGUCGAAUCCUGCAAAGCAGAACGACCCGUGCACAUGUACCAACAAUCUGGCUUUGUAGGGAUCGUGCUUUUGUUCGAGCCCUAUGAAGCCUUGUCGAUGUGUGUUCAUGGUGACCCCUUGGGGCCCUCAUGGACUUUGCAUCGGCAUAACAACAAACACCGGCACGGCAUGUGCCAAGGAAAAUUUAACUUAAGAAGGGCUCGUACGAUGAUGCCCCGUUCGCGGUGUGCGCAUUGGACGUGGCUUCUUUGUAAUCAUAAACGACUCUCGGCAACGGAUAUCUCGGCUCACGCAUCGAUGAAGAACGUAGCAAAAUGCGAUACUUGGUGUGAAUUGCAGAAUCCCGUGAACCAUCGAGUUUUUGAACGCAAGUUGCGCCCGAAGCCAUUCGGCCGAGGGCACGUCUGCCUGGGCGUCACGCAUCACGUCGCCCCCACCAACCUUUCCCUUUAGGGAUUCGUGUGAUGGGGGCGGAGAUUGGUCUCCCGUGCCUUUGGUGCGGUUGGCGAAAAUAAGAGUCCCCUUUGACGGACACACGGCUAGUGGUGGUUGAUAAGACCCUCGUCUCGUGUCGUGUGUUUUGAGUCAUAAGGGAAGACAUCUUUAGAUACCCCAACGUGUUGUCUUUUGAUGACGCUUCGAUCGCGACCCCAGGUCAGGCGGGACUACCCGCUGAGUUUAAGCAUAUCAAUAAG